rnacentral:rRNA from 1 species
CCUACGGGGGGCAGCAGCCGCGGUAAUACGUAUGGUGCAAGCGUUAUCCGGAUUUACUGGGCGUAAAGGGAGCGCAGGCGGCGCGCCAAGUCUGAUGUGAAACCCCGGGGCUCAACCCCGGGCAUGCAUUGGAAACUGGCGGGCUGGAGUGCCGGAGAGGUAAGCGGAAUUCCUAGUGUAGCGGUGAAAUGCGUAGAUAUUAGGAGGAACACCAGUGGCGAAGGCGGCUUACUGGACGGCAACUGACGCUGAGGCUCGAAAGCGUGGGGGGCAAACAGGAUUAGAAACCCCUGUAGUCCCAUAGA